rnacentral:rRNA from 1 species
CAGUAUUUCCGUACCUGCUUGUCACAGCCAGAUCGUGUCAGAUCUCAGAGGCUAAGCAAAGCUGGGCGUGGUUAGUGCUUGGAUGGGAGACCACUGGGAAUACCACAUGCCACAGUGG